GAUGAACGCUGACAGAAUGCUUAACACAUGCAAGUCAACUUGAACUUCGGUUUGGGUGGCGGACGGAUGAGUAACGCGUAAAGAACUUGCCUCACAGCUAGGGACAACAUUUGGAAACGAAUGCUAAUACCUGAUAUUAUGAUUUUAGGGCAUCCUAGAAUUAUGAAAGCUAUAUGCGCUGUGAGAGAGCUUUGCGUCCCAUUAGCUAGUUGGAGAGGUAACGGCUCACCAAGGCGAUGAUGGGUAGCCGGCCUGAGAGGGUGAACGGCCACAAGGGGACGGAGACACGGCCCUUACUCCUACGGGAGGCAGCAGUGGGGAAUAUUGGACAAUGGACCAAGAGUCUGAUCCAGCAAUUCUGUGUGCACGAUGAAGUUUUUCGGAAUGUAAAGUGCUUUCAGUUGGGAAGAAAAAAAUGACGGUACCAACAGAAGAAGUGACGGCUAAAUACGUG
rnacentral:rRNA from 1 species